GAUGAACGCUGGCGGCGUGCCUAAUACAUGCCAGUCGAGCGAACGGACGAGAAGCUUGCUUCUCUGAUGUUAGCGGCGGACGGGUGAGUAACACGUGGAUAACCUACCUAUAAGACUGGGAUAACUUCGGGAAACCGUAGCUAAUACCGGAUAAUAUUUUGAACCGCAUGGUUCAAAAGUGAAAGACGGUCUUGCUGUCACUUAUAUAUGGAUCCGCGCUGCAUUAGCUAGUUGGUAAGGUAACGGCUUACCAAGGCAACGAUGCAUAGCCGACCUGAGAGGGUGAUCGGCCACACUGGAACUGAGACACGGUCCAGACUCCUACGGGAGGCAGCAGUAGGGAAUCUUCCGCAAUGGGCGAAAGCCUGACGGAGCAACGCCGCGUGAGUGAUGAAGGUCUUCGGAUCGUAAAACUCUGUUAUUAGGGAAGAACAUAUGUGUAAGUAACUGUGCACAUCUUGACGGUACCUAAUCAGAAAGCCACGGCUAACUACGUG
rnacentral:rRNA from 1 species